UGGCUGAAACACAGAACGGAUAUUUUAACAUCACGGUGGUAUCUAUAGCGUUACACGAAGCUCAGAGGAGUUUCUAGAAGCAAAAACCCUUUUAGGAAAUAAUUCUUUGCUGAACGACUUGUGAUAAGGAUGCUCCUCAAAGGUUCAUUAAUAUUCUUGUGGAUGCAGCUGACAUGGGUGAAUGGCCAGCAGGUGAAUCAGAGUCCUCAGUCUGUGUCUGUUCGGGAAGGAGAGGAUGUCUCCAUGAACUGCAAUUCCUCAAGUACAAUCAACACCUUACUAUGGUUCAAGCAGGAUCCUGGGGAAGGCCUUGUCCUACUGAUAGCCUCAUAUAAGGCUGGUGAAGUGACCAGAAGUGGAAAACUGACUGCUCAGUUGGGCGCAACGAGAAUGGACAGCUUCUUGAACAUCUCAGCCUCUGAGACUAAACAUGCAGGCACCUACUUCUGCAGUGUGCAGCACUGUGCUCCCCGAGCACCUGCAACCUGCACAUAAACUUGCAGCUGGAACCCUAGUCACUAUGCUGCCUCGAGCUGCUGCUCCUCUUGGCAUGAAAUAUGAUCAUACACACAACCUGUGUGCCCUGCUCUCCCAUUACU